UGAAGAGUACACAUACUGUUGUCAGACUUACACUAUUUUCGAAAAGUAGGGAAAUUUGUGAGGGUGCUGCGACGUUGUCACCUUCCAAAACAUCUGAAAAUAGAGGAUGUAAGGGUUGAAGAAAGAAAUCUCAUCCCAGCUGAACCUCCAGGGAAAUAGGAGAUAACAUAAUAAGAUAGAGCAAGGACCUGUAUCACUGAGAAGAGCACAGAAAGAAUAUAGCUGUGA
rnacentral:misc_RNA from 1 species